CCAAAGGUUCUUUUAAGAGCCAUCUACAUUGCAAUAAGAGUAUUCU
rfam:Salmo salar isolate Sally breed double haploid chromosome ssa04, whole genome shotgun sequence.